UACGUAGGGGGCUAGCGUUGUCCGGAAUCAUUGGGCGUAAAGCGCGUGUAGGCGGCCCGGUAAGUCCGCUGUGAAAGUCGGGGGCUCAACCCUCGGAUGCCGGUGGAUACUGUCGGGCUUGAGUACGGAAGAGGCGAGUGGAAUUCCUGGUGUAGCGGUGAAAUGCGCAGAUAUCGGGAAGAAUAUCCGUGGCGAAGGCGGCUCUCUGGUACGGCACUGACGCUGAGACGCGAAAGCGUGGGGAGCAAACAGG
rnacentral:rRNA from 1 species